GACCACAAUGCAAAAAAUGAUCUGUGCAGUGUGUGGAGAAGGUACUGUGACUGAUCAAACAUGUCAAAAGCAGUUUGCAAAGUUUUCUGCCGGAGAUUUCUCACUGAACAAUGCUCCACAAUGGUCAGGCAGACCAGCUGAAGUAGACGGUGAUCAAAUUGAGACAUUAACUGAGAGCAAUCAAUGUUAUUCUGUUACACCACACGGGAGAUAGCCGACAUAACUCAAAAUAUCCAAAUCAAUAAAAUUAUUGGUGAAAA